AUAAAUUGGGGCUCAACUUCAUUAACAGUCUCUCUUCCUUGUUGCAGUGAUGCAGGUCGGACGUGUUGUGGCGGAGGGAGAAAAACCCAACUUGCGUGAAGCGUUAUCGAUGGAUGUAAGGGCAGCAUUGGAUGCAUUUUGAUAAGGUAAUGGGAACACUGCAUGGACAGACUCCACCAGAUUGCUCCAGUUUUGUGUUUUUAAAGUUUUAAAAGGCCAAAGUUGAAUGUGUAUACAGUUGUAGGGUAAUUUGAAAGCCAUACAUAUGAUGUGCUGCCUGAAAAUAUGGAAUGCAUUUAUAAUAUAUCUACAUAUCUUACGACACUGUAUGAACUGUGAUUCACUUGUUUAUAAAGCUUUUUGUUAAUGUAAACUCUAUUGUAUAAUUUGCACCCUUUUUUUUUUGGAAGCUAUGAUGGGGGAAAAAUAGCUGCUAUAUCUUCAAUAAACAGUUGAGGAA